rnacentral:rRNA from 1 species
GAUGAACGCUGGCGGCGUGCCUAAUACAUGCAAGUCGAGCGAACGGACGAGAAGCUUGCUUCUCUGAUGUUAGAGGCGGACGGGUGAGUAACAUGUGGAUACCCUACCUAUAAGACUGGGAUAACUUAGGGAAACCGUAGCUAAUACCGGAUAAUAUUUUGAACCGCAUGGUUCAAAAGUGAAAGACGGUCUUGCUGUCACUUCUACAUGGCUCCGCGCUGCAUUAGCUAGUUGGUAAGGUAACGGCUUACCAAGGCAACAAUGCAUAGCCGACCUGAGAGGGGGAGCGGCCACGCUGGAGCUGAGACCCGGUCCAGACUCCUACAGAAGGCAGCAGUAGGGAAUCGUCCGCAAAGGGGGAAAGCCUGACGGAGCAGCGCCGCGUGAGUGAUGAAGGUCUUCGGAUCGGAAAACUGUGUUAUGAGGGAAGAACAUAUGUGUAAGUAGCUGUGCACAUCGUGACGGUACCUAAUCAGGAAGCCACGGCUAACUACGUG